CAACAAUGACUGCCGGCUCUCAGACAUAGCAUCGUGGUUGAGGACCCAUCCGACUUGUGGCACCUCCGACUCGACCGAAGGAUAGAGAGAUCAUUCAUAUUCAAAGCCGCUCUAUAUUCAGAGAGCCUUCUACAUCUUAUGUCGUUAUCGGAAUCAUAUGCUGAUUGAUGUCGGGACCGGUGAACGAGUUCUUGAGUUGGCCGUCGGGAGCUCGUGAUGCUACUUCAAAGAUAUUUUUGGAGUACUAUCGAUUUGAGACUCCUCGGGACGAGAAGGUUGGCCGUCGGACCUUCGAGGAGAUGGCCACAUGGAGGCUCUGGGAUGGCCUCUAUAGUCUCAGGCAAUUCACUAUCCAGCACUCUGAUUCUCAGUCACCAUCGGACUAAAGGUCCUUCAUAGAUCACUGGUUGCAGGUGGACAUAUGGUAGGCCCUCUGUGAUCAGUGGAGCAGUGAAGAGUACUCCGAUAGACGACAGAGGGCUCGAUAGAAUCGGACAGCUCAGCAGGAUCCGAUCAGGCAUAUGGACGGCUUGGUCAGCACACAUGUUGUAGCCGACAUAUUGGUAAGAAAUCUAUACCAAAACUCUUCACUAGAGCUGUAAAAACUCUUAUAUGCAUACUUUAAUUAAUUUAAUUUAUUUAUAUAUUUAUUGUAGACAUGACAGUUGGAUCGUCUACUAGACCAGUUAUGGUUGUAGCGGGCCACACACCAGUCCAGGAGGAUUGAUGCGUUACGCGGUGUACAUUGCUGAGAGGUACGGUGAUGACCCAUCUUCUCAAUCCCCUUGAUCCUGAGGGAUGGCUCAGCACCAUUGAGGGGGUGAGUAGGAGUGGAGUCAUAGGAUUCAGCCACAGCUUUAACCCUCCAUUGGCUCGAUAUCUUUCGGCAUCCUCACAAGCCUCGGCAUCUCAGACUUAGAGCGAUAUGCACAUGGAGGAGGUCAUGUAGAGGUUUCUGAGCCAGCAACCUCAGAACCUCCUGGAUGCCAUCCAUGAUAUGAUCGUGGAGCUUCUCGUAGAUCUGCAGCUGCAUGACCGACUGGGCUCAUCAUCCCAGCUAUCACAUCAGGUAAUUAUAUUACUAAAUUUUUUUACUUGUUUUAAGUUUUCAUAUUUAUAUAGAAGCUUUUUAUGUUUAGAUUUGAGU